GUCAUGUCUAUAAAGCCAAGCACGCCAACCCCAAGCGGCUCCUUCAACCCCUGAGAUCUUAAACAAAAUCUCUGGCUUUUCUUCUGACCUGGGAAGGAGGAACUCCGGCUGCGGUGGCCGUGUGCUGUGAACAGAAAGAACCCGGUGACAAGGGGGUAGGGGGAGGCAGCUGAUACUGUGGUUCUGGGAACAAACUGGCCUCUUCAGCCUGGGCUCAUGUUAGAAUUUUGUUCCCCCUGGCUUGUUGGAAGGAGCAGAUGGCCCAGCAUGGGACAAAUGUGAUCCAUAAUGCAAGGAAUGAGGAAACAUGUAGCCCAAACUAGCCUGUAACUCACUAUGUGGUAACUCCUGAUCCUCCUGCCUCCUCGUGCCAAGUGCUGGUACACCAGGCAUGUGCUGCCACCCAGCGAGGCCAGCAGUCUACCAACUGAGCUAACUGCCAGCUGCUGCCCUUCCAAUUCCAAGCCUGGAAGAUGUGAGUAGCACAGGGCGAGAUUUCUGACCCACAACACCUCCCAUCCCAGCACUGGAGACUGAAGCAUGGAUUCUGAGGCCAGCCUGGGCUACCAAAGAAGACUGUGUUUUAAAAAGAAAAAGAAAAAAAGAAAAUUAAAAUGGACUAACCCUCGAGUGCUCAGAGAGCAGCAGGGGGCCUACCGGGCUCCGCCCACUGCUACAAUGCUUCCCCUUCGAGGUCACUAGGCUACUACCCAGUCGUUGAAGAGGAGUAUAGCUCUGACACCAUGCCAGCAGUUUAAACUGGAUACAGGAGAACUUGCAUGUAAGAGCCACUUCCAGAAGGUCCCAAGAGCACAGAGAUGGGGUGGGGAGUGAAUGGGCACCUCGAACCCUUGUCCCCAUCCAGGGGUGGGAGGGGAUUAGUGUAGGAUGGGAGCAGAGCAUCUUAGUGCAUUAUGGAAAGCUCUGAAGUGGGGGGUCCAGUGACUGCUCUGCUGUCCACAGCCGUGGGCUAGGACAGAUACGGUGGGGACAGUGACAAGGGAGACCAGCAGUCCUGUGGCUGUGGCUGUGUGUGGCCAAGCCAGUGAGACCCUGGGCAUGGCUGGCAUUGUUUAUACGAAUGUGAAUUCUGGGGUCGCCCUGUUUGUGCUCUGAGCUGAGUAAGGCUCUCAACAUAAAUGAGGGAGGCAGGGCCCAGCAAGAUGGCUCAGCAGGUAAAGGUGCUUGCAGCCAGGUCUUGAUGACCCAAGUUCAAUUCCCAUUUGAUGGAAAGAGAACUGACUCCCCUCAAGUGAUCUCCACAUGUGUGUGGAUGCAUUCACAACAGAUAAAUAAUAGCUAAUAAUAGCUAAUAAAUUGUCUUUUUUCUUU